rnacentral:rRNA from 1 species
CCUACGGGAGGCAGCAGUGAGGAAUAUUGGUCAAUGGCCGGAAGGCUGAACCAGCCAUGCCGCGUGAAGGUCAGUGCCCUAUGGGCGUUAAACUUCUUUUGUGCGGGAGCAAUAAUGGUCACGUGUGGCCAGACGAGAGUACCGUACGAAUAAGCAUCGGCUAACUCCGUGCCAGCAGCCGCGGUAAUACGGGGGAUGCAAGCGUUAGCCGGAUUUAUUGGGGUUAAAGGGUGCGUAGGCUGGGAGGUAAGUCAGCGGUGAAAUGCCCCCGCUCAACGGGGUGAAGUGCCAUUGAGACUGCCUUGCUGGAAUGCGGAUGCCGUGGGAGGAAUGUGUGGUGUAGCGGUGAAAUGCAUAGAUAUCACACAGAACACCGAUUGCGAAGGCAUCUCACGAAUCCGCGAUUGACGCUGAUGCACGAAAGCGUGGGUAUCAAACAGGAUUAGAUACCCCUGUAGUC